CGUGGCUAACCUGCCCUUGGGACGGAAGCACCCCCGGGAAACUGGGGCUAAUUUCCGAUAGGGGAAGACUCCUGGAAUGGAUUUUCGCCUAAAAGGCGCUUAGAGCAUGCUUCUAGGCGUUGCCCAAGGAUGGGGCCGCGGCCGAUCAGGUUGUUGGUGAGGUAACGGCUCACCAAGCCUUUAACCGGUGCGGGCCGUGGGAGCGGGAGCCCGGAGAUGGGCACUGAGACAAGGGCCCAGGCCCUACGGGGCGCAGCAGUCGCGAAAACUUCGCAAUAAGCGAAAGCUUGACGGGGCUAUCCCGAGUGCCAUCCGCUGAGGAUGGCUUUUCCCUAGUAUAGAUAGCUGGGGGAAAAAGGAGAGGGCAAGUCUGGUGUCAGCCGCCGCGGUAAUACCAGCUCUCCGAGCGGUGGGGAUGAUUAUUGGGCCUAAAGCAUCCGUAGCCGGCUGGGCAAGUCCCCUGUUAAACCCAGCGAUCUAAUCGUUGGCCUGCGGGGGAUACUGCUUGGCUAGGGGGCGAGAGAGGCCGUCGGUAUUCCCGGGGUAGGGGUGAAAUCCUAUAAUCCCGGGAGGACCACCAGUGGCGAAGGCUGUCGGCUAGAACGCGCCCGACGGUGAGGGAUGAAAGCUGGGGGAGCGAACCGGAUUAGAUACCCGGGUAGUCCCAGCUGU
rnacentral:rRNA from 1 species